rnacentral:misc_RNA from 1 species
UCACCCCUCAAGCCCUGUGCUUGGUGUUGGACGGCCUGGCUGGGCGUGCUGCCCCGGCCCCUCCUAAAGACAAUGACGGCGGUCCGUGGAACCCCCGGUACACUGAGCUUCUUUAACGAGCACGUACCGGAAACAGGGCGCCCGGGCGACGGUCUGAAACCCCCUUAUUUCUCAAA